AUGCCAGAAGUGUUUUAAAUUAAUAAUAUUAAAUUAAAACGAUACCGUGCUACCGACGACCAUUAGUAAUAAUUAGGACUUUAUUGUUAUGAGUACAACUUGUACAAGCGGUAAGUACAACAUGUCUGUUAACUUCACAGCUAUCCGCAAAAACGUUAUCAGUAGGCAGUGUUGGUUAGUAACGCAACGCAGAUUACAAAUUUCUGUAACGAAAUUACUCUUUCAAUAACGGUGCAGUAAUGUUCCAUUACAUUUUAUUUGAAUUAACGCAAUUGUGUAACUAUAUACUUGAAAAGUAACUUCCACGGCGUAAGGCAUUACUUACGUCAUUAAAAUAUGUUGUCAACGACAAAACUCCAAAACCUAGACGCUAGGAUCACAGGACAAAGAAUAAUACUACUAUAUUACUACUAUUAUAACAUUACUCUUUUCACUACGCUAAGGUAUUCGAAAAAAAGGGAAAAAAAUCAAUUGAAUUAACUAUCGAUUCCGAAUUUUUUUUGAAAAUACUCAACAAUAUUAUUGAAUACCUCAGGAAUUUAUGUUAUUAGCGGAAAAUAAAAGACUUGAGAUUUAAAAAUAAAAUUGAAUUAUGAUUUAAGACUAAAAUAAUAAUUAAUGUCAUUGAUAUGAUUAUUUGACAUAUUUUAUAACUGAUAUACCUUCCUCAACGGUACCUCACCAACCACCAUGCAGAAUCAUCAAACAAUGAAAUCAUAGCUUAUGUCAAAAAAAUAAGAAAACAAGGUCAAAGAGAGUAUCUACAGCGUAAAAAAAUAAUAAGAAAAAAUGUGUCGUUCAACAAAUGCAUCAAAUCCUGACUAUCAACAAAGAGUUGAAAGAAAAUCCCAUGUAUAACGUCAAAAAGAAUACGUACUGCACUAAAACAUUUGCCAAGUGAAUCACAGGACUCCCUUUUGACAAUUUACAAAGUGAAAAAAAUUUGCGUAAAUGCAAAAAGUAUCGAGCUACAAGGAAUGGAAAAACUUUUGAAGAAGAUGAUUAUUUUUCUACGUAAGAAAUAUUAGUAGAAGUGUUCACUUUUGUCAACCGUCCCAAGACAGUAAUUCAAUUUAUUUUCCUAAAAUCACAAAUUUAAAAUAAUAUUUUCUAUUUUGUAAAAAUAAACUUUAUAAAAAAAAAUUAAUCGGAA
rnacentral:lncRNA from 1 species